CUCUGAGCUACCCUUUAUUUCUAUAGGAGAUAGAAGAGCCAAAUCUUAAAGACUGUUUUAAGAAAACUCUUUUGAAAUAUCUUUGAAAAAAUUAAGAUGCUGAAAAAAGAACAUACCUCGCUUCCCUCCCAGACCAUGGGUAAAAGUUCAAAUGAGUUCUGAACAGGGAUGACAGCCGCUGUUUUCCUCCUCUUUAUCUCCAAGCAGUCCAGAGUGGAUGAGUAAUGAUUUUGUUCCAAGAAGGUGGGCUUAUUGCCUGUAUUCAUCUCUUCCAUCUGUGAUGUGAUCCAAAGAUUGCAGUGUGUCCUGUGUUGCCUUCUGAUACAAGUCAGGCGGCCUGGUUUCAGGAAACAGCACGGCGACCCUCUUCCCCAGGGUCGCUCGGGCCUAAGAAACACGCGGACACCAAUGUGGUGGAGGAUCAAAGGCCUUUAUUCUCUCUUCUCGUGGGGUUUUGUAGUCUAG
rnacentral:lncRNA from 1 species